UACGUAGGAUCCAAGCGUUAUCCGGAAUCACUGGGCGUAAAGCGUGCGUAGGCGGCGCGUUAAGUGAGAUGCGAAAUCUGGUGGCUCAACCAUCUAGACUGUGUCUCAUACUGGCGUGCUAGAGGACGGCAGAGGCAAGUGGAAUUACCGGCGUAGCAGUGAAAUGCGUAGAUAUCGGUAGGAACACCAAUGGCGAAGGCAGCUUGCUGGGCCGGCCCUGACGCUGAGGUACGAAAGCGUGGGGAGCGAACAGG
rnacentral:rRNA from 1 species